rnacentral:rRNA from 1 species
GACGAACGCUGGCGGCGUGCUUAACACAUGCAAGUCGAACGGCAAGGCCCUGCUUUUGUGGGGUGCUCGAGUGGCGAACGGGUGAGUAACACGUGAGUAACCUGCCCUUGACUUUGGGAUAACUUCAGGAAACUGGGGCUAAUACCGGAUAGGAGCUCCUGCUGCAUGGUGGGGGUUGGAAAUUUUCGGCCGGUGGGGAUGGACUCGCGGCUUAUCAGCUUGUUGGUGGGGUAGUGGCUUACCAAGGCUUUGAAUGGUAGCCGGCCUGAGAGGGUGACCGGGGACAAGGGGCCUGCGAGACGGCCCAGACGCGUACGUGAGGCAGCAGGGGGGAAUAUGGCACAACGGGCGCAAGUCUGAGGCAGCAACGCCGGGGGCGGGAUGACGGCUUGCGGGGUGUAAACCGCUUUCGCCUGAGACGAAGUGGGAGUGACGGUAAUGGGUAAAGAAGCACCGGCUAACUACGUG